rnacentral:snoRNA from 1 species
GGUCAGUGAUGACAAGAGAAAAGACUGAUUGCACUUGUGAACUGUACACACCCAUUGACUUCUUCAGCUCCCAGCAGUUUUUCUUCUUCUCUUUCCCUCAUCUGAAGUCCAGUAAUGCUGUGAGGUGUUUGAGGACUGCUGACAUUAUGUGGAUAAAGUCAGUGUGUGUUGCCUUCAGUGAAAGGGGCUUGUCACUGACUGUCAUCCAACAAAGCUAGUCAAGGAGCUGUCAUUUCUGGGGUGUGCCUUAUUGUGCAUGAUCUUUAGUUUUCAAGCUGAGACC